GGAGGAUCCAAGCGUUAUCCGGAUUCAUUGGGUUUAAAGGGUGYGUAGGCGGAAUGAUAAGUCAGUCGUGAAANCCNGUNGCUUAACNGCAGAACUGCCAUUGAUACUGUCAAUCUUGAGUACAUUUGAUGUGGGCGGAAUGUGUCAUGUAGCGGUGAAAUGCUUAGAUAUGACACAGAACACCGAUUGGGAAGGCAGCUCACAAAACUGUAASWGACGSUGAGGCAAGAAAGCGUGGGUAUCAMACAGGAUUAGAUMCCSUKGUAGUCCMCGCUGUAAAAUAUGAUUACUCGAUGUKUCGAUACC
rnacentral:rRNA from 1 species